rnacentral:tRNA from 1 species
GGUGGCUCAGUGGUAGAGCAUUUGCCUUGCAUGCAUGAGUCACUGGGUUCGAUUCCUCAGCACCA